CUGCAGGCAGAGCCAUUGGAUGGCAGUGUGCCCCAAAUAAUGGGCAGCUACAAUCAUUGCAAAGUUCCAGUGAUGUAGCUCCAGCAGCAAUUGUGUAGCGAUGUCAUAAAAGAAAAGCCUGAGCUAAUCCAGAAAUGGACCCGAGGAUCCCCGAGUAUGGGGUAUCUCUGGAUGAAACUCAGGGGAGUCUAUAAAUUUUAAGUGGGGACAAAAAAAUCUUCACUUUGAUUAACCGGUAGCAGAAAUGCAGCAUUUUGUUCCAUAAGAGACACAGCCAUCAGACCAACGGAUUGUUCAUCACAUCUGUGACUUUGUCAGCUCAGGAAAUCGUGGGUAUUUUUAGACGAUAUUUCAUAACCUCAACUUGACAUUGUAUAUGUCCCUCACUGCCUCAAAACUACAAUAGUCAUUAGGACAACUGGCUAACUUGCUAUAUAAUGUAAUUGAGAGGUAUGUAUCCUAUGCCACUUAUUAAAGAAAAUCUAAGAACACAUUGUAUAGGCCUCUAAUGGCAUAAUUCAGAGGGACAUAUGCUCCUCCCCCACCACAGGGAGAAUGCUAUCGUAGAAAUUGUACUACCAUGUUUUCUUUGCAGGCUGAUAAUUUGCAUAUUUCUCAGGGUCUGUUCAAACAUGCCACCAGUGUGGCCAGCUGAUGGCAGUGACAGAGUUGUGCUAACCUGCUCCACCUUCCUCUCCCGAAGAAGCUGCUGGAAGAUUUUAAACUGCAGUUUUGUUUUCUGGCUCCUGCGCAGGUAAUAUUCUCUCUUUCUUAUUUGCCAUCCCCAUGGUUCCAACUUUAUAUUG
rnacentral:lncRNA from 1 species